CAUGGAGACCUCCUCGCAGGGGGUGGUGGGCCCAUGGACCCCGAUCAGCAGCAUGUUGGAGCCUAGGAGGCAAAAGGUGGUUACUCCACCCGGAUGCAUCAGGACAGGCACAGGAAGAAGAGGAAAUAUGAGAGCCAAAGGAAAGGAAGCAGAGGCACAGUGAAGUCAGAUAAUUCAUCUGGAGUCACACAGCUGGGGACCAGCAGAACUGGGAUUUAAACAUAAAGUCUGUCCAACUUGGAGCUAAAGCACUUACCUGAGAGAAGAUGGAAGGAAAAAAAUCCACAAGCAGAAGUCUCUCACCACUGCCUCUAGCUAUAACCUGUAUCUGACACCACAAAACAUCUCUGGGCGUGGCGGUCUUCCCCCACCCCCUCAAAUAUGUCCAGCUCAGUUCCUGUGAGUUUAAUGCAUGUUAAACGCAGCACUGCUUGUUCUUCAAGGCAGUUAAGGAAGGAGGCCCUUCUGGUAUACCCCGAGCACACUGGGGUUCCUGGACCAUUUCAUUAGGAAAAUUGCUCAGCGGCUCCAAAGAAUCUGGAGCUCCCUGGUCUAUCUCCCAGCCUCUCAAGCCGCCUCCAGCAGGGUCCCGCCCCAAAUUCUCCACAUUCCCCUACUCCAAAAUCUACAGAAUGGACCAUUUAAAGCUUGAGCCAAGAGAUACAGCAAACUCACCCAUUAAAAACAGAGGGAGGUUUGCUUUGUUCAGAAGGUCAGGAUACUGGGCGCUCUGGCGGCCAAGCACAGAUACCUUUUCAUUCCAUGCACACUGCAGCUGUGUAAUCUCAGAAUGGAUAUUUAGGGAAAGGCUUGGGAGCAGGAGGGCUGGAAAAACAAGGCGCCUUCCCUGUGACAAGAGCAAUAUUUACACAGGGUUUGAAGCAGGCGGUUCUGUACCUCUCCCCUCCUGGCUAGGAGCUUCCCUGCAAGAGCAACUCCUUCUCUCAGCAGCGUCCAGCACUUGCAGAGCACAGCCUGAAACCCAAGCUCCCAAAAAGGUGUGCGAACAGCCAAAAGGAAAUGGGAGAGGGCCCAGGCACAGCGGCAUGAGCCAGCAGGAGGGUGAGAUGCUUCCUGGCCAGUGUGGGAGACCCCAGCAGCUGCUGUGAGGCCUGGCCUGAAGCCUGCCACGCGCUCCAAGUGCCGAGAGGACCCCACCUGGGCCCUCAAAGGUGAGUACCUUGUCAGGGCCCAAGUGCCAGCACUGCUGCCUGGAAAGUACUCCUGAGUGGCUGGGAGGACAGGGGUCCUGGUUUAGGACAUCCCCAAAGUGGGCUGGGGAUGCAGUCACUGCCUCUGGGUGAGCCAGCCACUUAGAGAGGGGGCCAAGCUCGGGGGUUCAGCGCAUAGGCUCUGAGGUCACGGAUGUAGACUGAUUCCUGGUUCUGCCUCCUCCCAGCUGACUGCUUUUUGGGGGAGUGUUGUUUGGGGAGUGACUCAACCUCUGCAUCUCACUUUCCACAUCUGUAAAAUGGACAUCACUUACGGUAAAAUGAUACCAUGCCUUUCACAAAAGGCAAGCCGCAGGCCCAGAGUUCAGCGUGGAGCCGGGCUGGAUUUGCCUGGGGAGUCUGGCAGCACUCACACCACCCCUGUGGGUGGCUUUGCUGAGGCCACUGCUUUGGCCAGAGUCCCGGGCAGCCUGCCAGCCCACCAGUCACUCCUGCACCCGGAGAGGGCCCCUUGGCCACACAGGUCACUUGCUCCUAGGGCUGGAUGCCAGGCAACCAUGCAGCCACUCACCCCUCACCCCUGGGAGGCAAGUCUGCUCCAUCCCACUCUCCUUAUGCGGGGUGGGGGUACACACACAAGAGACUCAAGAAACCAGGACAUACUGCUUUCCCAAGAGGGUCCAAAGUAACACCAAAUGCAAACAUGCCCCAGUGAGUCCACACUGCGCACUUCCCCUGCAAAGACUAAGGACUGACUCUCCACCCUGGCAGCCUCCAUAACAGUGACGCACUCACUGCGCACCACCCGAUGCCACCUGUUCAAAUAACUGCGAUUCACAGCAGGAAUUCUCACUACAGCCAGGAAAAGGAGGGGAAGAUCUGUUCUGACAUGGAAAGAUCUUUAAGAUGUCAAAGCAAAAACACAAGCUAUACCACACAGUGGAUACAGUAAGAUUCUUUCUGUAAGACAAAAGCAAAACUCUGUGUCUGCUUGUCUAAUGAACCAAUUAGCUAACCAACCCAGCAACCAAGAAUGAAGACAGACAAUGAGAUGACAGACAGGGUGAAGGUCCUCCCUUCCCAGAGCCGUUUGCUUCCAGACCCAGGUGGGGGAGGAGGAGAGAAGAUGGAGUGAGUCUCACUUUAUUUACUUCUUCACUGCCUGUAUCUUUCAUAAUCAAACAUGUCCCAUCUGUGGCAAAGAAUAAAAGUAAAUUGUAACGGGUCUAAAAAGCUUCAGAAUUCUUUGAACAUUUCAGUCUUUUCUCCUCCUCCAUUAAGAUCUGAGAGUAAAAAGAGGAGGAGAUAGGCUGGGACAGGUCUUAUUGCUGCUUCAGUGCAUUUCUGGGAGCCUGGUACCAUGAAAGAACAGACGGGUAGGAGCCCACUUGGACGCAUCAUGAAUUCUGUGCAGGCAAAGAAACCCUCAAAAUUAAUGACACUGUGCUGUGUUCCCUGACUAUCAGCAUCCUGUUCUGAAAGUCAAGAAACUUGGCAGAGGAAGGAAUCUGAAUCACAACUAACAGUAAUGAGGUGUGAUAACACGGCCAUCGAGCUCUCACUCUGGAUUUAUCGUGGGUCAAACCGCAACUCCCAAAACAGCUUUGGACAGCAAGCGCCUCCGAAGUGUGCAUGACCCCAGUUUCCACGGGGAGUACGUGUAAAAAGCUUUCAUGGGGCUUGAGGAUUUCCAUCUGGCUUGGUCCCUGGAGCUGGUUCAGUUAAGGCUUCAAGAAGCAGAAGAGUGGGUUACCUGUGGUGCCCCCUUCGAGUCCCGUGCCAUAGGCGGACACCAGGGCAGGGUUCCCCGCUUGUCCAGGCUCCCCAACGCGCACUUUGAAGGGGCUUCCAACCACGUGGCUCCCAUUGAACUUGACAUCGAUGGUGUGGACACCAUUCUCAUGAGGGAUGAAGCGAACAGCAUACUUAUCUAGGAGAAUGAGCAAAGGCACAGGGUGAAAUCAAGCAAAUGGACACCCCUGAGUUCAGUGAGGAUAAAGGAUGGAGGCCAAGCUGAGAUGGCCCAUUUAAAAUCAACAGUUCUACAGGGAGCCUGGCACUCAGCAUCCUGGAUUUCAGAACCAGACAGACCCCCUGGGUAUCCCUCAUCAGCCCCAAGGGAAACGCAUCCACAUUGCAAAUCCUAUAAACACAGGACAAGACUCUGACCCCUGCCUCAGAAGAACACUUCCUUUCUUUAGAAAACCUCACUUCUUCAGUGUGAAAUUCUGUGAAUGCUGUUACUAAUCCUGUCACGAGAUGAAUCUCAUUUCACCAAAAUUAAAUUAUGUUUUUCCACUAAAAUGAUGAUACAAGUUGAAGACACAGCACUCUGAAAUUGGAAGACCUCACCACUUAAGGCUCCGCAGCGGCUUACUCAGCUGAACUCCAGGUUACUACUCUUUACUUUGUUCACCCAUUGGGGAGUUCAGUUUGUUUUUAAACAUUGGGAGAUGGCCAUUCUAACUACUGUUCAAUGUCUCUGUUUUGGGAAGGCAUAACAAGAAAUAAAAAGGAAUAUAUAUGAAGGGAAAAAA
ensembl:lncRNA FLNB-AS1 FLNB antisense RNA 1